GUGGGGAAUCUUCCGCAAUGGACGAAAGUCUGACGGAGCAACGCCGCGUGAGUGAAGAAGGUUUUCGGAUCGUAAAGCUCUUUCGUUAGGGACGAACGUGCUCUUUGUGAAUAAUGAGGAGUAAUGACGGUACCUAAAUAAGAAGCCACGGCUAACUACGUGCCAGCAGCCGCGGUAAUACGUAGGUGGCAAGCGUUGUCCGGAAUUAUUGGGCGUAAAGCGCGCGCAGGCGGGAUAUCAAGUCUGUCUUAAAAGUGCGAGGCUCAACCUCGUGAGGGGACAGAAACUGGUAUUCUUGAGUGUCGGAGAGGAAAGUGGAAUUCCAAGUGUAGCGGUGAAAUGCGUAGAGAUUUGGAAGAACACCAGUGGCGAAGGCGACUUUCUGGACGAAAACUAACGCUGAGGCGCGAAAGCCAGGGGAGCGAACGGGAUUAGAUACCCGGGUAGUCC
rnacentral:rRNA from 1 species